UGGGCGCUUUCGAAAGCGCCCAUAAAAAAUAUGGGCGCUUUCGAAAGCGCCUAUAAAAAAUAUGGGCGCUUUCGAAAGCGCCCAUAAAAAAUAUGGGCGCUUUGGAAAGCGCCCAUAAAA